CCGGUGCUUGCUAAAGAGGUACCGUCAUUGUGUUCUUCCCUCUCCACAGUGCUUUACGACCCGAAGGCCUUCAUCACACACGCGGCGUGGCUGGAUCAGGCUUUCGCCCAUUGUCUAAUAUUCCCCA
rnacentral:rRNA from 1 species